UGAGAAAAACAAUUAUUUAGCUCAUACUGUUUUGCAAGUAAACUCUUCUUUUCUCUUGUCUUCUGAAUGUACAAAUAAAGUUUAAAUAGGAAAAGUAUUAAGGCAAAUUUAACAGUUGAAUUUGCUUUUUUAAUGUUAUUUUAUUUAACUUGUUCCACUGUUUUUUUAAGUUAAAUAAUU